rnacentral:rRNA from 1 species
CAGUAGCCACGGGAAUACAGAGGAUGCAAGCGUUGUCCGGAAUUAUUGGGCGUAAAGGGCUCGCAGGCGGUUUCUUAAGUCUGAUGUGAAAGCCCCCGGCUCAACCGGGGAGGGUCAUUGGAAACUGGGAAACUUGAGUGCAGAAGAGGAGGGUGGAAUUCCACGUGUAGCGGUGAAAUGCGUAGAGAUGUGGAGGAACACCAGUGGCGAAGGCGACUCUCUGGUCUGUAACUGACGCUGAGGAGCGAAAGCGUGGGGAGCGAACAGGAUUAGAUACCCGGGUAGUCCCUGUCUCUUAUAC